rnacentral:rRNA from 1 species
UAUUUUAGUCUUGUUAGAGGAACCUGUUUUAUAAUCGAUAAACCACGAAUAUCUUACUUAUUUUAAAUAACUUGUAUACCGUCAUUAUUAGAUAACUUUAAAAAAAAAUUAGUUAUUAAAAUUAAAUAAAAUUAAAUAUAUUAGAUCAAGGUGCAGUUAAUAAAUAAGAAAAAAUGGGUUACAAUAAAAUUUAUUUAAACGAAUUAUAUAAAUGAAAAAAUAUAUGAAGGAGGAUUUAAUUGUAAUUUUUUAUAAAAUAAUAAUAUGAUAAUAGCUCUAAAAUAU